GCCCGGGGGGGGGGGGGGGGGUGCGUGUGCAUUUCCUUUGGUCGCUUCAGGGACCAUCGCGCACAGGUGCUCGGAGAACUCUGGAGAGAGAAGUAGGGAGCUGUGAGUCACCCCGCCCUAGGGCUGGGCCCCGGGAGAGGCCGGACGGGGCUGUCAUUUCUCCCCGCGAGCGGUGACCCGCGCUGCCGGGACUUGGAGCAGCUCUUUUACUUCGUCGGAUCGCUCCCCAGCUAUGCCCCUGAUCGGGGUUCUCCUGCUCCUGAUACUUGCCCUUUGCACUGAAUCAUCGACUAAAGCUGAUAAUGCCCAAGUGACUAAUACCUACCCUGAGCUGUUGAAAUUGAGUAAGAACAUUACCAAAAGAGAGUCUGGGUGCCCGGAAGGCCAACAGCGUGAGGGCAGUUUCUGCUGUCGGCCAUGUCUUCCUGGUGAACGGAAAAAGGAUGACUGCAAAGCUGAUGGGGACAAACUUGUCUGUGAGCCCUGCUCGGAAGGGAAGGAGUACACAGACAAGGAACAUCAUUCUCCUACAUGCAGAAGAUGUGGGAUUUGUGAUGGAGAGCAUGGCUUAGAAGUGGAAAAAAAAUGUACCAAGACCCAGAAUACCAAGUGCAGAUGUAAAUCAAACUAUUUUUGUAACACUCCUCCAUGUGAACACUGCAACCCUUGCAGCACGUGUGAACAUGGAAUCAUUGAGGAUUGCACACCAACCAAUGACACCAGAUGUAAAGCAGGAUCCACAUCUCACUUACACUUGCUGUGGCUCCUGAUCCUGGUUCCAAUAGCAGCUGCAUUCAUAUUGUGGCGGGUGAAAAGACGGCGCCGGAAUAAUAAUCUUCCUCUCUCUGAACCUACAUCUCCAGAUACUGAAAUGCUCCCAGUGAUUUCUUCAGACAUUGACUUGACUGAUUACAUUAGCACUAUUGCUGAGCUAAUGACAAUAAGUGAAGUUAGAGAUUUUGUUCGGAAGAAUGGUCUCAAAGAAGCCAAAAUAGAUGAAAUCAAGAAUGACAAUCUCCAAAAUACAGCUGAACAGAAGGUCCAGCUGCUCCGUAAUUGGUAUCAAGUUCACGGGAAGAAAGACGCAUUUACCACUUUGAUUACAGGUCUCAAAAAAAUCAAACUUUGUGCUCACGCAGAUAAAAUUCAAGAUAUAGUCCUCAAUGACAUUACUAGUAAACGUGAAAAUACUAACAUCACAAAUGAAAAUGAAAGCCAAAGAUGUAAACUGAAGAUAAUUAUAAACUGAAACAGAGGUCUCAAAAUACCUAAACAGCUUCCACUGAAGGAAAAUUUUCCCCCUGAUGUUUGGAAAUGUAAAAUCAGAGGAGCAGCACAGAGUGGGGUAGGUCAAGGAUUGGAUCUAGAAUCAUGCAAAUCCUGGUUCAAAUUCUAGCUCCGCUGCAAUUUUGAACUGUAUGGCCUUGGAUUUCAUAUCUCUUAAGUUUGGUUUCCCCUAUAAACAAUGAAGACACAUGUCACCUGCCCCUUCUUAAAAUUGUGAAGAACAAGAAAAAAAUACCAGUGCCAGUGUAAUAGAUUAUAAUGCAUCAUGGCAUUGGUCCUUAACCGCUACUGUGUGCAAGGCUCGCCCGAGGACAUUUUAAAAAUGCAUAUCCCCAGGUCCUGCACCUUGGGAUGUUUCAGGAAGUCUAGCACUAUGUAUGCCUUGGACUCUACAUGUAACCAAGCACUCUUGAUGACUGUCUUGCUGAAGGCCCUUGGAUCACAGUUCAAGAGCAAAUGCAUGCCCCUGGAAGGAGAG